GAUCGAUGGAGACGGCGGAACCUGAUGGACUGGAACCAAGGAGCUGCUACCUAAUAAUAACCGAUUACUGCAGCGAUUGAAUAAACCGUGUGUUAUGUUGUAAUCGCGGAUUUCGGAGUUGUAUUUGCGUCAGACUGUCGGUCACAGUGUGACUAGUGUCCUGUCCCUUCUGUGAGCCUGGCCUUAGUGCCUCACCAUGUGAGGAGUGACCUGUAUUGUGGAGGAGUAGCCUCGAUCUGAUCCUGCAUUGUGGUGCGAUCCUUCUGGCUUUCUUUCGAUUUCCGGCGCCACAACUCUGUAUCAUCUCGUCUCCUUUGUUCUACUGAAUGAAUAUGCAUCUGCAUUCCGUUUCACCUAUCUUUGCGCUGGGGACCAACUCUGUUCCAUGGUCCACGUGAAACCCC
rnacentral:lncRNA from 1 species